ensembl:lncRNA MYLK-AS1 MYLK antisense RNA 1
AGGUGCGCUUUGCUUCCUAACCCGUUGCCGGGUUGGAGAUUCCACCUCCGAAGUUUUCUUUCUGACUUUUGAUUUUACAUUCCUAGUACAGUGGAGAAGCCCAGGCGGCCUAGAAUCCAGUGUCGUCCGUGAGUGCUUGGCUGGUGUUCAAGUGCAUCUUCCAGCCUGAGACCGCGUGGACUCGCUCAUCGUGAGGGCGAGAGGAGGAUAAGCCCAUUGGGCUGUCGGCUGAGAGUGAGAUUGCUGAUGAAAUCCUUGGCAUCGUCGGAGAUCUCAUCGAAUGCCUCGUCGUCGAAGUCCCAGGUGGCUGAGGUAACGUUGGCCAAGGUUUCGUUAUCGUUGUCUCCCAUGAAGGGGGAAAGGCCACUGACUCUGGAGAGACAAGAGCAGGACAGCAGGUGUGGCUAGGAGAGGGCGCGACGACCAGGUGAGUGGUAACUGAGGUCAAAGGCGAGGGUCGGCCAGCCUCCCCACCCCCAAACUCAUGCUCUGUGGGCCUUGCACCUGCCUUUCUUCCACUUGUGGAAAGAAAAGAGGGUGUGGUUCACAGCCCUGUCUUUUCUUGGUC